GGGCCAAGAGCAAAGGAGACGACCGCAAGGCACGCAUGCACCAGCGCAUCGUCAAGCAAUACCAGGAUGCCAUCAGGUCUCAUAAGGCUGGACGCCCAGUCAACCUGGCUGAUCUCCCUGUACCACCAGGCUGUCCUCCGCUGCAGGGCUCAGAGAGCAGCCAGCAGAACUUCAUGGGCGUCCUGGAGACGGCCG